UGGGGAAUAUUGGGCAAUGGGCGAAAGCCUGACCCAGCGACGCCGCGUGAGGGAAGAAGGUCUUCGGAUUGUAAACCUCUUUCAGCAGGGAAGAAUAGAUGACGGUACCUGCAGAAGAAGUCACGGCUAACUACGUGCCAGCAGCCGCGGUAAUACGUAGGUGGCGAGCGUUAUCCGGAAUUACUGGGUGUAAAGGGUGUGUAGGCGGGGAAACAAGUCAGGCGUGAAAUCCAAAGGCUCAACCUUUGGUCUGCGCUUGAAACUGUAACUCUUGAGAGUGGGAGAGGUAAACGGAAUUCCUGGUGUAGUAGUGAAAUGCGUAGAUAUCAGGAGGAACACCGGUGGCGAAGGCGGUUUACUGGACCACAACUGACGCUGAGACACGAAAGCGUGGGGAGCAAACAGG
rnacentral:rRNA from 1 species